GACGAACGCUGGCGGCGUGCCUAAUACAUGCAAGUCGAGCGGAACUGGGGGAGCUUGCUCCUUCCAGUUUAGCGGCGGACGGGUGAGUAACACGUGGGCAACCUGCCCUGCAGAUCGGGAUAACUCCGGGAAACCGGUGCUAAUACCGAAUAGUUUGGCGCCUCUCCUGAGGCGCCACGGAAAGACGGUUUCGGCUGUCACUGCAGGAUGGGCCCGCGGCGCAUUAGCUAGUUGGUGGGGUAACGGCCCACCAAGGCGACGAUGCGUAGCCGACCUGGGAGGGGGACCGGCCCCACUGGGACUGAGACCAGGCCCAGACUCCUACGGGAGGCAGCAGUAGGGAAUCUUCCGCAAUGGACGAAAGUCUGACGGGGCAACGCCGCGUGAGUGACGAAGGUUUUCGGAUCGUAAAACUCUGUUGUGAGGGAAGAACACGUACCAACUAACUAUUGGUACCUUGACGGUACCUCACCAGAAAGCCACGGCUAACUACGUGCCAGCAGCCGCCGUAA
rnacentral:rRNA from 1 species